rnacentral:rRNA from 1 species
UACGUAGGGGGCAAGCGUUGUCCGGAUUUACUGGGCGUAAAGAGCGUGUAGGCGGCCACGCAGGUCCGUUAUGAAACUGGAGGCUCAACCUCCAGCUGUCGACGGAAACCGUGUGGCUAGAGUCCGGAAGAGGAGAGUGGAAUUCCUGGUGUAGCGGUGAAAUGCGCAGAUAUCAGGAGGAACACCGAUGGCGAAGGCAGCUCGCUGGGACGGUACUGACGCUGAGGCGCGAAAGCGUGGGGAGCAAACAGG